CCUACGGGAGGCAGCAGUGGGGGAUAUUGCACAAUGGGGGAAACCCUGAUGCAGCGACGCCGCGUGUGGGAAGACGGUCCUCUGGAUUGUAAACCACUGUCCCCAGGGACGAAGAUGACGGUACCUGGGGAGGAAGCCCCGGCUAACUAGGUGCAAGCAGCCGCGGUAAUACGUAGGGAGCGAGCGUUGUCGGGAAUUACUGGGUGUAAAGGGAGCGUAGGCGGGACUGCAAGUUGGGGGUAAAAUCUACCGGCUCAACCGGAAGCCGCAGUCAAAACUGGAGGUCUUGAGUGAAGUAGAGGCAGGCGGAAUUCGUAGUGUAGCGGUGAAAUGCGUAGAUAUUAGGAAGAACACCAGUGGCGAAGGCAGCCUGCUGGGCUUUUACUGACGCUGAGGCUCGAAAGUGUGGGGAGCAAACAGGAUUAGAUACCCGAGUAGUC
rnacentral:rRNA from 1 species